AGAGUUUGAUCCUGGCUCAGGAUAAACGCUGGCGGCGUGCCUAACACAUGCAAGUCGAACGCCUUCUGGCAACAGAGGGAGUGGCGGACGGGUGAGCAACACGUGGGUCAUCUACCUUUGGGUGAGGAAUACCGGCGAGAAAUCGCCGACAAUACCGCAUGGGCUGCGCGAGCAGCAAAGUCGCAAGACGCCCGAAGAUG
rnacentral:rRNA from 1 species